rnacentral:rRNA from 1 species
GACGAACGCUGGCGGCGUGCUUAACACAUGCAAGUCGAACGGAAAGGCCCUGCUUUUGUGGGGUGCUCGAGUGGCGAACGGGUGAGUAACACGUGAGUAACCUGCCCUUGACUUUGGGAUAACUUCAGGAAACUGGGGCUAAUACCGGAUAGGAGCUCCUGCUGCAUGGUGGGGGUUGGAAAGUUUCGGCGGUUGGGGAUGGACUCGCGGCUUAUCAGCUUGUUGGUGGGGUAGUGGCUUACCAAGGCUUUGACGGGUAGCCGGCCUGAGAGGGUGACCGGCCACAGUGGGACUGAGAUACGGCCCAGACUCCUACGGGAGGCAGCAGUGGGGAAUAUUGCACAAUGGGAGGAAGCCUGAUGCAGCAACGCCGCGUGCGGGAUGACGGCCUUCGGGUUGUAAACCGCUUUCGCCUGUGACGAAGCGUGAGUGACGGUAAUGGGUAAAGAAGCACCGGCUAACUACGUG